ACUGUUAGAUCCCAAGGGCUUUCUGCAGGAGUUGGAUGCAUUUGAGCCAGGGAUGUAGUCGAUACCAAAAUUGAUCCUUUUAACUGCUCCGGCCAGCCCCGGGUAGCAAGCUUGAUAAAGUCGGGACACCUUGGUUCCUCAUUUCCUCUUGUGCUCUCCUCAUUUCUUCAGGAUCUAUGUUCUCCAUUAGCUUGGGCAUCAGGAAUACAACAAUUAGCAUGAAUCCCACCAUCAGACCCAUAGGACUUUUCACAACAGACAUUAUGGAGAAAGGUUCUCGAAUCUCAUAAUACUCUUCAUCCCUUAAAGGCUCUAAAACAAGCUCACUCAAUGCCCGCCUGUUCUCUGUUAGGGCUGCCUGAACCUUACCUGGGUUUCUGGCACUCACAUCAACUCGAACAGG
rnacentral:misc_RNA from 1 species